rnacentral:rRNA from 1 species
UACGUAGGGGCGAGCGUUGUCCGGAUUUAUUGGGCGUAAAGGGUUCGCAGGUGGCCUUUUAAGUCAGAUGUGAAAGAUCACAGCUCAACUGUGGUAAGCAUUUGAAACUGAAAGGCUUGAGUUAAGGAGAGGAAAGUGGAAUUCUUAGUGUAGCGGUGAAAUGCGUAGAUAUUAGGAGGAAUACCAGUGGCGAAGGCGGCUUCCUGGUCUGUAACUGACACUGAGGCGCGAAAGCAUGGGGAGCGAACAGGAUUAGAUACCCUGGUAGU